UUGCCUGGUCCCCUGCCUUGAAAGCCAGCAACAGAGCUGAGAUCUCCUCACUGCCUCACUCUUCUUUUCUCUCUCCCGUUCAGCAACCCCAGUGAUCACAGAGGGUCCCUCCAGGCAGCCCAGCAUAAUCUUCCCAUCUUGAGGUUCUCUGAUCAGCACCCUUACCUUUGCCAGAAUCCAGGUCCCUUGCACCUGUAUGUCUGCUCUGGAAGAUGCUGAACCCCACUACGUGAAUUAUGAAAACAGACGACUUCAUUCUCCAACUUUGUGAUGCAGUUUGAAAAUGACGACCCCCAGGCAGGCCGAGCUCGUACAUGCCUCAGGACCUUAGCAUCUGCCACACUGCUUCUUCCUGAAAUGCCUUCCCGGAGG